rnacentral:lncRNA from 1 species
UCUUGAUAUACUUUAAGGUAGAGAAACUUCAUUCACAAGCUACCUGGGUAACUGAGAGGGUGAGUAGGAUCUACCUGGGUAACUGAGAGGGUGAGUGGGAACUACCUGGGUAACUGAGAGGGUGAGUAGGAACUACUUGGGUAACAGAGGGUGAGUAGGAUCUAGCUGGGUAACUGAGAGGGUGAGUAGGAACUACCUGGGUAACAGAGGGUGAGCAGGAUCUACCUGGGUAACUGAGAGGGUGAGUAGGAACUACCUGGGUAACUGAGAGGGUGAGUAGGAUCUACCUGGGUAACUGAGAGGGUGAUAGGAUCUACCUGGGUAACUGAGAGGGUGAGUAGGAACUUGUAUCCAAGGCUGAUGAUAUGGUAUGCAUCAGUCAGCAGGUUGUACCGUCUCAGCAUCUGGUAACAACACAGUGGACAUUCUUUGUAGGAUGGAGCAGCAUUUAUUCUUCAUUUCCACCACAUCUUCCAUUUCCCGUCAGGGCCGUCCUCCACUGUCCUGGUCAUGUAUUCUUCAUUUCCAUCAGGGCCAUCCUCCACUGUCCCUGGUCAUGCAUUCUUCAUUUCCAUCAGGGCCGUCCUCCACUGUCCUGGUCGUGUAUUCUUCAUUUCCAUCAGGGCAGUCCUCCACUGUCCUGGUCAUGUAUUCUUCAUUUCCAUCAGGGCCGUCCUCCACUGUCCUGGUCAUGUAUUCUUCAUUUCCAUCAGGGCAGUCCUCCACUGUCCUGGUCAUGUAUUCUUCAUUUCCAUCAGGGCCGUCCUCCACUGUCCUGGUCAUGUAUUCUUCAUUUCCAUCAGGGCCGUCCUCCACUGUCCUGGUCAUGUAUUCUUCAUUUCCAUCAGGGCCGUCCUCCACUGUCCUGGUCAUGUAUUCUUCAUUUCCAUCAGGGCCGUCCUCCACUGUCCUGGUCAUGUAUUCUUCAUUUCCAUCAGGGCCGUCCUCCACUGUCCUGGUCAUGUAUUCCUCCAAUCCUGAACUUUUCAGUAUUUUCCACUGUUACAGCGAGGCUCCUCAGCUCACACUGCAAAUUGUCAACAGUUGCUCGGCUAUCAAAUUGAAGCAAACAUUUUGCUGAGCUUUUGAAGGGUUGUCUGUGGAAGACCAUUGGAUGUUAUCUGGGAGAAGUUUCUAGGAUCCAGAAGGUCUAGGUCAGCAUAUAGAGCGAGCCACGAGACAGAAAUCACCUGUGGAUACUAUCUGUGACUGUAUCCAUAAUUUGAUUGUGGACUUGGAACUUUAGAGGCACUCUCUGCCUCUGUCAAAGCUUCAUCUUGAGCCGUCUCUCCAGACAUGAUUUUCUUCUUUCUUGCCUUUUUCUGUGGCAGAGUGGCUUCCACCUCCUCCAGCUCUGUGUCCUCAUCCUGUUCUUUGAUCUUCUUAUUUGUAAACUGAACAAAUGUGUCUGUAGCUGCCUUAAUGGGGUCAAGGUCUCUUGCCAUGCCUUUCAGGGUUUCCUGUGUAGCCACAACCAUUCGAUGGGCAGACAGGAUGUCCAUCCCACUUGUCUGCAGGUAUUUGGACAGUGGUGACGUGUUCUCAAAUAUCCAAAGAAAUAUUUGAGCGGUCAGUAUCGUCUCAUACCGGAGAAGAACCUCAGUAAAUCCUCUUGCCUUCACCCAAACAGUUGUCUUCGUGUUGGCCUGUCCUUGUAUGGCUGACAGUAUGAGGAGUACUUCAACAUAGAGACCCUGGUCUGGUUUUUCAAAGGAUCCAAAGACCUUCUUCAAAGCUCUAUCCUUAAGCCCACCAGCGUGUUUCUCCGAUUGGAGAUAGGGGUCUGUGUCAAGUGUCCUGGCUCUUCUUCUCCCACACAUCCAUCCUUUGGUCGGAUUCACGGAGUAACACAGCAAUGUCGUUAAGGAGAGCAAACAGUGACCCACUCGCUAAGACAAUUUCAGUUGUUGUCAGACCAAACCAGAUUAAGGACACGUGCAUAGCGCCAUACAUGCACUUGAUUGGGGGACUUUGAGGAUAACAGAGUAGAGAAGCCCUUAUAUUUGCCCUGCAUUUUGGAUGCUCCAUCCGUAGCUUUGCCAAUGCACUUGUCUAAUUUGUGUUUAUCCACAAUAUCUGUCAACAGCUGGACAAAGUACUGUCCAGUAGAUCCCUGACACUUCACAACAGCCACGAGCCUCUCUUGUACGACGUCUGUCACAUAUCUCAUAAUGACAGAGCACUGGUCUUGAGAAGUUAUGUCCUGAGUUGUGUCGAUCUGGACAGAGAACAUUCCAGCUUGUUCAAUUUCACUUGACAUGUUCUCUUGGAUAAUGCUCUGAAUUGUGUGAAUGACGGUGUUGACAGUAUUUUUUGAGAGGAGUGUGAUUAGAGAACCUCUGCCUCUUGCCCCAGGACUGAUGUAGGUUCUUGCUUUUCUCAAUGCAUUCGGUGAGAUGUUCUUUCAACCAGACGUCAUACAUUCCCAGUAGUAUUAUCAUCCAAAAGAAAUGACCGUGAUCGAUACUGGUGUCCUCUAAUGUAUACGCAGGCGGCCCACCGGCCCAGAGGUUGACCAGCCCACAGGGAAUUCUCCCGGUGGUCAGUCCGUUACCGUCUGAGUAAGAUCUAGGAUCAGUUUUGCCUUAUUUUAGAUCAUAAUGAAUAAUAUUAUAUGGACAGAUCCUAGAUCAGUACUCCUACUCUGAGAUGCUUUGUGGUUGUAGGCCCAG